rnacentral:tRNA from 1 species
UCCCCGGUAGCUCAGUUGGCAGAGCAGGUGGCUGUUAACCACCCUGUCGGCAGUUCAAGUCUGUCCCGGGGAG